GUAGUCUCGCACAGAUGCAUAUCAAUAAGCGGAGGAAAAGAAACUAACAAGGAUUCCCCUAGUAACGGCGAGUGAAGCGGGAAGAGCUCAAAUUUGAAAUCUUAAAGGGUUUCCCUUUACGAAUUGUAGUUUAAAGAAGUGUUUUCUGUUGAGGUUUUGGUAAAAGUUCUUUGGAAUAGGACAUCAUAGAGGGUGAGAAUCCCGUAUUUGACCUUUACUUUCACUUUGUGAUACACUUUCAAAGAGUCGGAUUGUUUGGGAAUGCAGUCCAAAAUGGGUGGUAAAUUUCAUCUAAAGCUAAAUAUUGGCGAGAGACCGAUAGCGAACAAGUACCGUGAGGGAAAGAUGAAAAGAACUUUGAAAAGAGAGUUAAACAGUACGUGAAAUUGUCAAAAGGGAAGCGUUUGACACCAGUGUUGUUUUUCUGAAAAUCAAUUAAAGAACUGUUUAUGCUAAGCUUGUUUAGACUUUAUCAGCUAUCUGCUUAGUUUUGAGCUUUUCUUUAAUGCACUUUUCAGUUAACAAGUCAACAUCAAUUUCUUUUGCUGUAAAAAAGCUUGAGGAAGGUGGCUUGAGAUUCGUCUUAAGUGUUUAUAGCCUCUUGCCUAUGCAGUCGGAGAGAUUGAGGUCUGCAGCGUAGAUCCUUCGGGGCUAAAUGCAUUUGUGCUAAGUUAUAGCAUUUUAUAGACAACUUGUUGACUAUGAUUUGUCUUGUAGCUUACUCGCUUAUGUUAUUUUACCUACGCUUAGGAUGUUGACAGCAGUAUAGACUGU
rnacentral:rRNA from 1 species